rnacentral:lncRNA from 1 species
UUGUUUAUAUUGUUCAUGAUUAUUAUUGUGCUCGUUUGGUUUUGGUUGCCAUCAAUUUAUUCAACGCAUCAAAGUAUUGGCGUGACUCUAAUGGAAUUCACAACAGUUGGCGACCAUCAUGGGGCAAUCAGAACAAACUAUUGAGAAUGCAUCGUGUGUAUUGAUCACAGAUCAUCUUACGCUAUUAUUAGCAUGCUUUUCAGUCAUUUUCAGUAGGUUUUACUAGCAAAACAGAGGAGUAUUAGAUCAAUUGUCUAUGAUUUCAUAACAUUUGUAUUGUUUUCUAUAUUUGAGUUUGUAAUUCUAUUCUUCCUGAAACAGCAAUUUUAGGGUGUUCUUGAUGUAAUUCACGAAGAAAUCAAGCAAAUCAGGCAAAGAAAGACAUCUGAAGAUUUAUGUGGUCCUCGGGAAGAUGAAGAAUGAAGAUUCAAGAGGCCUCAAAAGACUUCACAAAGGGAGGAAUUAUAUUCCCAAGUUCCAAAACAUCUUACAUUGAAGAAAACACCAUAAAAGGCAAAGAAAACAGGCAUUUCACCACCGAAAUGAAUCUAGAAGCGCACAGGUGCACCAGAAGGGGAGCUAGGCGCCCCGAGAUACUGCACUGAAGCGUUAGGCACAUGGUAGGGGGCUCUAGGCUCCUAGACCUGGCAG